rnacentral:rRNA from 1 species
AUUGAACGCUGGCGGCAUGCCUUACACAUGCAAGUCGAACGGUAACAGGUUAAGCUGCCGAGUGGCGAACGGGUGAGUAAUGUAUCGGAACGUGCCCAGUCGUGGGUGAUAACUGCUCGAAAGAGCAGCUAAUACCGCAUACGACCUGAGGGUGAAAGCGGGGGAUCGCAAGACCUCGCGCGAUUGGAGCGGCCGAUAUCAGAUUAGGUAGUUGGUGAGGUAAAGGCUCACCAAGCCGACGAUCUGUAGCUGGUCUGAGAGGACGACCAGCCACACUGGGACUGAGACACGGCCCAGACUCCUACGGGAGGCAGCAGUGGGGAAUUUUGGACAAUGGGCGCAAGCCUGAUCCAGCCAUGCCGCGUGCGGGAAGAAGGCCUUCGGGUUGUAAACCGCUUUUGUCAGGGAAGAAAAGGUUCUGGCUAAUACCUGGGACUCAUGACGGUACCUGAAGAAUAAGCACCGGCUAACUACGUG